CACAUCUACUAGAUUAGUGGUCAUAAAUCACAAGCUACAUAUCAGAAUGUGAUUCACUACUCACCAAGUAUACUGCACACCCUGCACAUUGCCCUCACAGUGAUAACAGCUCAUAACAAGUGAAAAAUCAAGCUCCGGGUGGAAGUCAGAGGGUCGGGCAGCCUCGGUGAAGGCAGGGGGGUGUUCAAGGUGGUCCCUGCAUGCAACGCUCCCAUGGUCGACAUCUCCUGGACAGAUCAUGAAACCAUGCAUUUCAUUUCUGUUAUGUCUUUUAGGUUUGUUUUUCAUCUUGAAUGUCAUUCUGGAACUGUUGGAGCCUGAGAUUUGCAGUUUGGUGAUCGUUUGGGUGUUUCAGCGCUCUGCAGUCACCCAGAGGAUUCCGGAAGACAAAGGCAGUGCGCUUAAACCUUGCGGUGAGAAGAUUGCAGGAUGGGGCACAAGCCAAUGUCAGACUCCAUUUCACUGAUUAAAGCAUCCAUUGUUCUCUGAUUAAAGCAACAAGGGAGAUUGAAACAGAGGCGAAUACGGAAGCUUGUGGACAGCACUGGUCAGUAAAAGCCGCAUCUGUUUGCGUGUGUGGAGGAACGGUGCCGACUGGCACGUUCCCGGCUGCAGGAGGACGCGCUGAAGCUCGGCUGGGAAGGACUCGAGUCGAGGGCUCUUCCGCCACUGGACAGGGAGGAGUCAGACUGGGCACCACUGAUCAGCAUUGCACAAUGCUGAGAUUAAGGAAGUUCGGCUUGUCACGAAAAGGAUCGAACAAAUUUCUGCAGAUGUACUGUGGUUACAUCGUGGUCCGGUACGGCAAUUCAAAUACACAUCAACACAAGCUGCAUCAGUAGCGGACUCGGCCCAAAACAUCACAGGCACAUCCUUCCCCACCACUGGUCGUAUCUACAGGAGGUGCUGCAUCAAGAAGGCGACAAAGAUCCACACCAUUUGGGCCGUGCAAUCGUCUCACAGCUAACAUCGAGCAGGAGGUACAGAAGCUUGAAGUCCCACCCACUAGGUUCAGGAACAGCUGCCUCCCUUCAACCAUUCUGUUCUUGAACCAAACAGCACAACCCUAAUCACUACAGUUCAGUAACACUGUGCUCUCUCUGAUCACUUUGCACUAAAAUAAAUUGUGUAUUUUUAAAAAGAAAAAGUCUAAUUGUGUUCUUUCUUUUAAAAAUUAUACACAACUUUUCUUAUAAGAAGAGAUUGAAUUGCUUGGAACUGUCUUCACUGAAAUUCAGAAGAAUGGGAGGGGAUUUUAUAGAAAUACAUAACCUCAGGAUUCUGGGGAACAGAUUUAGGAAGGAGGUGAGGAGAAACAGCUUUUCCAAGAGAGUGUGAAUCUGUGGAAUUCUCUGCCCGGGGAAGCAGCAGAGGUUCAUUAUGUACCGUGUUGUAUGACCUGGGCAAUCACAGUCUUUCCUGUUCUUGGCAAAUUUUUCUACAGAAGUGGUUUGCCAUUGCCUUCUUCGGGGCAGUGUCUUUACAAGACAGGUGACACCAGCCAUCCUCAAUACUCUUUUGAAAUUAUCUGUCUGGUGCCAGUGGUCACAUAACCAGGACUUGUGACAUGGACCAGCUGCUCGUACGACCGUCCAUCACCUGUUCCCAUGGCUUCCCGUGACCCUGAUCAGGGGCUAAGCGGGUGCUACACCUUGCCCAAGGGUGUCCCGUAGUCGAGAGGAGGGAAGGAGCACCUUACACCUCCUGUGGUAGAGACAUAUCUCCACCCCGGUACCCAAGGCUGCCUCAUUAAAUGUAUUUAAGGCACAGUUAGAUUUUUCCAGAGCAGGGGAAUUAAGGGUUAUAGAAGAGGAGGCAGGUACAAGGUGCAGCUGAGUCCACAGCUGUAUCAGUCACGACUUUAUUGAAUGAUGGAGCAGGUUUGAUGGGCCAAAAGCAUCUAUUUCUUGUGUUGUUAUGUUUAAUUUCCAGUUUGCUUGCGAACGCUGUCGAUGGGAUGCUGCUGCAACAUAUUGACUCCUUAGUGGCAGGAAUGAACUCCAGUCGCUGGCGUUGGAAAGCGCUACACUAACCACGACACUACUGUGUCACCUCCUCACCCACACAAUAACUUCACGUUCACACCACAGCAUCCCCUCCAGUAAAAUAUCCCAAAUCGGCCUCACAGGUACCGCGUCGCCGGCUUGUUCAGGUGUGAUCAGAGGAAGAAUCUGGCUACGUGCAGCAAGGCAGCGUUGCAGCUAGUGUAACGCUUUACAGAGCCAGCGAUCGGGGUUCAAUCCCCACCCCGUCUGUAAGGAGUUCAAACGUGCCCCCCCACCACCUCUCCCCGAAUGCAUGGGUUUCCUCCAGGUGCUCUGGUUUCUUCCCACAUCCCAAAGACGUCGAGCUUAGAGACAGUAAAUCACGAGCAGGCUACAUUGGUGGCAACACUUGUCGGCUGCCCCCAGCACAUCCUCAGUAUGUGUUGGUUGUUAACGCAACACGAUGCAUUUCACUGUUGCGUUUCAAUGUACAUGACAAAUAAAACUCAACAUUAAUCUUAGAACAGCAUAAAACUACUUAAAUGGAAAGAGACAAAAGGACAUAGCUGUAGAGAAGAUCUGGGUGGCCUUGUUUAUCAGUGGUUGAAGGUCAGUGUGCUGUCACAGCGAGUAAUUAGGGAGGCAGAUGGAAUGUGACCUUUAUCACAAAGGCAAUGGUGCACCAAGAAAGCAAGUCUUGCUACAACUGUUCAGGGUGUUGGUAAGACCACACCUAGAAUAUUAUACAGGCCCAAGAGAUUCUGCAACCGCUGGAAACCCAGAGCAACACACACACAAAAUACUGGAGGAACUCAACAGGUCAGGCAGC